CCCCUAGAUGUUCUGGGCCGCACGCGCGCUACACUGAACAGUUCAACAAGUCUUAACCUUGGCCGAUAGGUCUGGGUAAUCUUUGAACGCUGUUCGUGAUUGGGAUAGACCUUUGCAAUUAUGGGUCUUCAACGAGGAAUUCCUAGUAAACGCAAGUCAUCAGCUUGCAUUGAUUACGUCCCUGCCCUUUGUACACACCGCCCGUCGCUCCUACCGAUUGAAUGGUCCGGUGAAGCGCUCGGACCGCGGCCUCUUGACGGGUCUCCGUCGAUUGGCUGUGGGAAGUUCGUUAAACCUUAUCAUUUAGAGGAAGGAGAAGUCGUAACA
rnacentral:rRNA from 1 species